UGACAAGGACUGGUUUGCCAUGGGUUGUU
rnacentral:piRNA from 1 species